CCGACUACUGGUGGAAGCUCCCUGAUGAAUGCCAGUGCUGCCAAUCGCAUCGUCGUCAGAUAACCUCACCUUUAAGAUUUCAAAGUUAACAUCUUGAACAGUCGCUAACUGUAAGCGGGAAAAUUAAACAAUACCGCGAAAAAAAUCAAGCGGUUCUCAUUUCACGUUAUAGUCAACGGGGUGUUAACGGUUGUGCGAUGUAUCCUGUAGUUUAAGCUAUGCUCUAAGUGAUGAAUAUUAAACUAAAAGACACAGGUAGUUUUAAUUCAGUUGAUGUCUGGCUGUUUAAUUAUACGAGUAGACCUAUUAGUGAAAGGUCAUUUAAAGGUUACCCUCUCUGCUUAAAUUGACAAACAAACCAACGAAACUACCGUUUAAUGUCUCACAGCGUUCUUCAGUUGGACAACCUUCUUUCCCAAUCAACAUGAAACUCUAAUUAACGAAAGGAAAAUACAUGAAGGUCCUGGAAGACGAAAUGGGAUGCCCGUACCCUGAAAUCAUCUCGUGCAUGCGAUCCACGGGAUUCUUUCCUGUUCUCCGCGCCGUAA